GCUCCCUGGUUGAUCCUGCCAGUAGUCAUAUGCUUGUCUCAAAGAUUAAGCCAUGCAUGUCUCAGUACAAGCUAAGCUAGAGUGAAACCGCGAAUGGCUCAUUAAAUCAGUUAUGGUUCCUUGGACGGAGCUAGCUUACUUGGAUAACUGUGGCAAUUCUAGAGCUAAUACAUGCAACAAAGUCCCGACCGGUCGACGGAAGGGACGCACUUAUUAGAUCAAAACCAAUCCGGGGAGGGUCUCCGGGCCCUUCCCCUGCUUGCGUUCUUGGUGACUCUGAAUAAAAAGCCACAGGCGGAUCGCACGGCCUCCGCGCCGGCGACGGGUCUUUCAAAUGUCUGCCUUAUCAACUGUCGAUGGUAGGCUCUGCGCCUACCAUGGUCGUAACGGGUGACGGGGAAUCAGGGUUCGAUUCCGGAGAGGGAGCCUGAGAAACGGCUACCACAUCCAAGGAAGGCAGCAGGCGCGCAAAUUACCCACUCCCGGCACGGGGAGGUAGUGACGAAAAAUAACGAUACGGGACUCAUCCGAGGCCCCGUAAUCGGAAUGAGAACACUUUAAAUCCUUUAGCGAGUAUCCAUUGGAGGGCAAGUCUGGUGCCAGCAGCUGCGGUAAUUCCAGCUCCAAUAGCGUAUAUUAAAGUUGUUGCGGUUAAAAAGCUCGUAGUCGGACCUGUGUCCCGCUCUGCCGGUUCACCGCCCGUCGGUGUCCAACUGGCAUGCACGCGCGGACGUCCUGACGGUGGUCGGGUGUUCCUCUUUCCUCCCGGUCUGCGAGGCGGGUCGGUCGGGGGCGAAGGUCCGCUCCACUCGCGCUCCGUGCGCGCCUCGGGAAUCCUCGGUCGGUCGGCGGAAGAGAUUCCGCUCCGGCUCGGGGUAGGAACUUGGUGUCGUGCGGUCGCGCGGGGGUGCGGGCUCUCCGGUUUCCGGCCCUCUCGGCGCCGGGGGAUCACGGGGGACCCGGCCUGGUUUCUCAUCCUCUCGAGGUGCUCUUGACCGAGUGUCUGGAGGGGCCGUCACGUUUACUUUGAACAAAUUAGAGUGCUCAAAGCAGGCAAUGCAUUCGCCUGGAUACCAGUGCAUGGAAUAAUGGAAUAGGACCUCGGUUCUAUUUUGUUGGUUUUCGGAAUCCCCGAGGUAAUGAUCAAUAGGGACAGACGGGGGCAUUCGUAUUGCGACGUUAGAGGUGAAAUUCUUGGAUCGUCGCAAGACGGACAGAAGCGAAAGCAUUUGCCAAGCAUGUUUUCUCUGAUCAAGAACGAAAGUCAGAGGUUCGAAGGCGAUCAGAUACCGCCCUAGUUCUGACCAUAAACUAUGCCAGCCAGCAAUCCGCCGAAGUUCCUCCGAUGACUCGGCGGGCGGCUUCCGGGAAACCAAAGCUUUCGGGUUCCGGGGGAAGUAUGGUUGCAAAGCUGAAACUUAAAGGAAUUGACGGAAGGGCACCACCAGGAGUGGAGCCUGCGGCUUAAUUUGACUCAACACGGGAAAACUCACCAGGCCCGGACACCGGAAGGAUUGACAGAUUGAAAGCCCUUUCUUGAUUCGGUGGGUGGUGGUGCAUGGCCGUUCUUAGUUCGUGGGGCGACUUGUCUGGUUAAUUCCGUUAACGAACGAGACUCCGACCUGCUAACUAGUCGGUGUUCCGGCAUCCUUCGCGCUGCCGGCGAGCAACAAAUCUUCUUAGAGGGACAAGCGGCGUCUAGCCGUGCUACAUGGAGCAAUAACAGGUCUGUGAUGCCCUUAGAUGUCUUGGGCAGCACGCGCGCUACACUGAAGGAAUCAGCGUGUCCUCCCUGGCCGAAAGGUCCGGGUAACCCGUUGAACCUCCUUCGUGAUUGGGAUUGGGGCUUGCAAUUGUUCCCCAUGAACGAGGAAUUCCUAGUAAGCGCGAGUCAUAAGCUCGCGUUGAUUAAGUCCCUGCCCUUUGUACACACCGCCCGUCGCUACUACUGAUUGAAUGGUUUAGUGAGGCCUUCGGACCGGCGGACGCAGGCGGGGUCCGACCCCGUCGCGGAUCCGCCGGAAAGAUGUCCGAACUUGACUAUUUAGAAGAAGUAAAAGUCGUAACAAGGUUGCCGUAGGUGAACCUGCGGCAGGACCAUUA
rnacentral:rRNA from 1 species